AUUGAACGCUGGCGGCAGGCCUAACACAUGCAAGUCGAGCGGAUGAAGGGAGCUUGCUCCUGGAUUCAGCGGCGGACGGGUGAGUAAUGCCUAGGAAUCUGCCUGGUAGUGGGGGAUAACGUCCGGAAACGGGCGCUAAUACCGCAUACGUCCUGAGGGAGAAAGUGGGGGAUUUUCGGACCCAACGCUUCCAGAUGAGCCUAGGUCGGAUUAGCUAGUUGGUGGGGUAAAGGCCUACCAAGGCGACGAUCCGUAACUGGUCUGAGAGGAUGAUCAGUCACACUGGAACUGAGACACGGUCCAGACUCCUACGGGAGGCAGCAGUGGGGAAUAUUGGACAAUGGGCGAAAGCCUGAUCCAGCCAUGCCGCGUGUGUGAAGAAGGUCUUCGGAUUGUAAAGCACUUUAAGUUGGGAGGAAGGGCAGUAAGUUAAUACCUUGCUGUUUUGACGUUACCAACAGAAUAAGCACCGGCUAACUUCGUG
rnacentral:rRNA from 1 species